ACACCGGGAGGUAGUGACAAUAAAUAACAAUACCGAGCUCAUUGAGUCUGGUAAUUGGAAUGAGUACAAUCUAAAUCCCUUAACGAGGAUCAAUUGGAGGGCAAGUCUGGUGCCAACAGCCGCGGUAAUUCCAGCUCCAAUAGCGUAUAUUUAAGUUGUUGCAGUUAAAAAACUCGUAGUUGGACCUUGGGUUGGGUCGAUCAGUCUACCUCUGGUGUGCACCUGUUGGCUCGUCCCUUCUGACGGUGAUGCGCUCAUGGCCUUAAUUGGUCGGGUCGUGCCUCUGGCGCUGUUACUUUGAAGAAAUUAGAGUGCUCAAAGCACGCCUAUGCUCUGGAUACAUUAGCAUGGGAUAACAACACAGGAUUAUGAUCCUAUUGUGUUGGCCUUAGGGAUCAGAGUAAUGAUUAACAGGGAUAGUCAGGGGCAUUCGUAUUUCAUAGUUAGAGGUGAAAUUCUUGGAUUUAUAAAAGACGAACAACUUCGAAAGGAUUUGCCAAUAAUGUUUUCAUUAAUCAAGAACGAAAGUUGGGGGAUCGAAGACGAUCAGAUACCGUCCUAGUCUCAACCAUAAACGAUGUCGAUCAGGGAUCAACGGAUGUUGCUUUUAGGACUCCCCUGGCCCCUUAUGAGAAAUCAAAGUCUUUGGGUUCCGGGCGGAGUAUGGUUGCAAGGCUGAAACUUAAAGGAAUUGACGAAAGGGCACCACCAGGAGUGGAGCCUGCGGCUUAAUUUGACUCAACACGGGGAAACUUACCAGUUCCAGACAUAAUAAGGAUUGACAUACUGAGAGCUCUUUGUUGAUUCCAUGGGUGGUGGUGCAUGGCCGUUCUUAGUUGGUGGAGCGGUUUGUCUGGUUAAUUCCGUUAACGAACGAGACCGCAGCCUGCUAAAUAGCUAUGUGGAGGUAACCCUCCACGGCCAGCUUCCUAGAGGGACUAUGGCCGCUUAGGCCACGGAAGUUUGAGGCAAUAACAAGUAUGUGAUGCCCUUAGAUGUUCUGGGCCGCACGUGCGCUACACUGAUGUAUUCAACGAGUCUAUAGCCUUGGCCAACAGGCCCGGGUAAUCUUUGAAAUUUCAUCGUGAUGGGGAUAGAUCAUUGCAAUUGUUGGUCUUAAACGAGGAAUUCCUAGUAAGCGCGAGUCAUCAGCUCGCGUUGACUACGUCCCUGCCCUUUGUACACACCGCCAGUCGCUCCUACCGACUGAAUGGUCCGGUGAAGUGUUCGGAUUGCGGCGACGUGGGCGGUUCGUUGCCCGCGACGUUGUGAGAAGUCCACUGAACCUUAUCAUUUAGAGGAAGGAGAAGUUGUAACAAGGUUUCCGAACGUGAACCUGCGGAAG
rnacentral:rRNA from 1 species